AUGGUUGUUACCUGGAAAUUUGAUAUUUCACAAUGGGUUGUGACAAGGCUUAUCAUUGAGCAUAACCAUGAUCUACAUCCACCAGGGGAAGUCAGGUUCCUUAGGUCACACAAAUAUAUCACUGAGCAAGAGAAAGACUUGAUCAGAACUUGCAAAAGAGUAAACAUACCAACUAGAAAGACUAUGGCAAUAAUGGCAUUCUUUCGAGGAAGAGGGCUUUCUUUGUUGCCAUACACAGCAAAGCAGAUUAGCAACAUGGGCACGAAAAUGAGAAGAGAUAAUGGCUUGAAUGGCAUGAUGCAAGUGGUCUCAUUUUUUGAACAGAAAAAAAAUCAGAAGAUCCUCUAUUCUUCUACUCAUUCAAAAUAG
rnacentral:rRNA from 1 species